CAGGACAUGACAUUUAUAUUUGGGGCAGGGCUUUAUUGCUUGAGUUUAUAUCAUAUGAUGAAACAGUUAAGUUCAUAGUGAAAGAAGUGGUUUUCAUUUUCAAUUUAACAUUAAACAUUUUUUCUUUCAUUUAUUAGACCAAAAGUCAAAAUAUAAAAUGGGGGGGGGGGGUGCUGCAAGCAAACAUUAAAGCCUCUAUUUGUAUGGGAUCCUCUCUUUGACAGAAAGGCAAAGUGAACCCUUCAAGGACAAAAAAAAAUGGAAAACAUGAAGACCUAUGAGUCAGGUUCAACUUCCAAAAGGUUUCCAAUAUUUGAAAUGGGUUCUUUAUAUUCAGAAGCGGGGAAGUUAAAAACAUUAAAAACAGAGUUUUUAAAAGCCAUAAGAAAAUCACAAAAGCUAUAAAACAGUCACACAAACAAGGGUCUCACUGAAAAGGUGUAACGCCUGUUGACAGACGCCGAUGAAAUCUGCCUCCCCAGUGCACAACUGUCAGGGUGACAUGAGCCGUCUGAAGACUAGUCACACACUAUCAAGGCAUUUGGCUCAGUCAUCUCAAUAAGGAAUACAGCGAAGCAAUCAAGUGUGCAGGCGUCCAAGGCAGAC
rnacentral:lncRNA from 1 species